rnacentral:lncRNA from 1 species
UGCCAGCCCUCACAGUGCCUUCAGUGCCCUUGCACGCCUGGACAAGGCGGGUGGGGGCCCUGCCUCCCAGCCAUCACCACACACCCCACCUGCCACACCCACCCUUGUGCACUGUUGUUUCACAUUUUCAUAUGUGCAUGUUACCUGACCUAUUUACAAUGCAGACAAGAGCAGGGAGCCAUGUUGCCAGCCCUCACAGUGCCUUCAGUGCCCUUGCACACCUGGACAAGGCGGGUGGGGGCCCUGCCACCCAGCCAUCACCACACACACCACCUGCCACACCCACCCUUGUGCACUGUUGUUUCACAUUUUCAUAUGUGCAUGUUGCCUGACCUAUUUGCAAUGCAGACACGAGCAGGGAGCCAUGUUGCCAGCCCUCACAGUGCCUUCAGUGCCCCUGCACGCCUGGACAAGGCGGGUGGGGUCCACACUGCCCAGCCAUCACCACACACCCCACCUGCCACACCCACCCUUGUGCACUGUUGUUUCACAUUUUCAUAUGUGCAUGUUGCCUGACCUAUUUGCAAUGCAGACACGAGCAGGGAGCCAUGUUGCCAGCCCUCACAGUGCCUUCAGUGCCCCUGCACGCCUGGACAAGGCGGGUGGGGUCCACACCGCCCAGCCAUCACCACACACCCCACCUGCCACACCCACCCUUGUGCACUGUUGUUUCACAUUUUCAUAUGUGCAUGUCGCCUGACCUAUUUGCAAUGCAGACACGAGCAGGGAGCCAUGUUGCCAGCCCUCACAGUGCCUUCAGUGCCCCUGCACGCCUGGACAAGGCGGGUGGGGUCCACACCGCCCAGCCAUCACCACACACCCCACCUGCCACACCCACCCUUGUGCACUGUUGUUUCACAUUUUCAUAUGUGCAUGUUGCCUGACCUAUUUGCAAUGCAGACACGAGCAGGGAGCCAUGUUGCCAGCCCUCACAGUGCCUUCAGUGCCCCUGCACGCACGCCUGGACAAGGCGGGUGGGGUCCACACCGCCCAGCCAUCACCACACACCCCACCUGCCACACCCACCCUUGUGCACUGUUGUUUCACAUUUUCAUAUGUGCAUGUUGCCUGACCUAUUUGCAAUGCAGACACGAGCAGGGAGCCAUGUUGCCAGCCCUCACAGUGCCUUCAGUGCCCCUGCACGCCUGGACAAGGCGGGUGGGGUCCACACCGCCCAGCCAUCACCACACACCCCACCUGCCACACCCACCCUUGUGCACUGUUGUUUCACAUUUUCAUAUGUGCAUGUUGCCUGACCUAUUUGCAAUGCAGACACGAGCAGGGAGCCAUGUUGCCAGCCCUCACAGUGCCUUCAGUGCCCCUGCACGCACGCCUGGACAAGGCGGGUGGGGUCCACACCGCCCAGCCAUCACCACACACCCCACCUGCCACACCCACCCUUGUGCACUGUUGUUUCACAUUUUCAUAUGUGCAUGUUGCCUGACCUAUUUGCAAUGCAGACACGAGCAGGGAGCCAUGUUGCCAGCCCUCACAGUGCCUUCAGUGCCCCUGCACGCACGCCUGGACAAGGCGGGUGGGGUCCACACCGCCCAGCCAUCACCACACACCCCACCUGCCACACCCACCCUUGUGCACUGUUGUUUCACAUUUUCAUAUGUGCAUGUUGCCUGACCUAUUUGCAAUGCAGACACGAGCAGGGAGCCAUGUUGCCAGCCCUCACAGUGCCUUCAGUGCCCCUGCACGCCUGGACAAGGCGGGUGGGGUCCACACCGCCCAGCCAUCACCACACACCCCACCUGCCACACCCACCCUUGUGCACUGUUGUUUCACAUUUUCAUAUGUGCAAGUUGCCUGACCUAUUUGCAAUGCAGACACGAGCAGGGAGCCAUGUUGCCAGCCCUCACAGUGCCUUCAGUGCCCCUGCACGCCUGGACAAGGCGGGUGGGGUCCACACCGCCCAGCCAUCACCACACACCCCACCUGCCACACCCACCCUUGUGCACUGUUGUUUCACAUUUUCAUAUGUGCAUGUUGCCUGACCUAUUUGCAAUGCAGACACGAGCAGGGAGCCAUGUUGCCAGCCCUCACAGUGCGUUCAGUGCCCCUGCACGCCUGGACAAGGCGGGUGGGGUCCACACCGCCCAGCCAUCACCACACACCCCACCUGCCACACCCACCCUUGUGCACUGUUGUUUCACAUUUUCAUAUGUGCAUGUUGCCUGACCUAUUUGCAAUGCAGACACGAGCAGGGAGCCAUGUUGCCAGCCCUCACAGUGCCUUCAGUGCCCCUGCACGCACGCCUGGACAAGGCGGGUGGGGUCCACACCGCCCAGCCAUCACCACACACCCCACCUGCCACACCCACCCUUGUGCACUGUUGUUUCACAUUUUCAUAUGUGCAUGUUGCCUGACCUAUUUGCAAUGCAGACACGAGCAGGGAGCCAUGUUGCCAGCCCUCACAGUGCCUUCCGUGCCCCUGCACGCCUGGACAAGGCGGGUGGGGUCCACACCGCCCAGCCAUCACCA